rnacentral:rRNA from 1 species
UACGUAGGGCGCAAGCGUUGUCCGGAAUCAUUGGGCGUAAAGAGCUCGUAGGUGGUCUGUUACGUCUGCUGUGAAAUCCUAGGGCUUAACCCUGGGCCUGCAGUGGAUACGGGCAGACUAGAGGUAGGUAGGGGAGAAUGGAAUUCCCGGUGUAGCGGUGAAAUGCGCAGAUAUCGGGAGGAACACCGGUGGCGAAGGCGGUUCUCUGGGCCUUACCUGACACUGGGGAGCGAAAGCGU